rnacentral:rRNA from 1 species
GAUGAACGCUGGCGGCGUGCCUAAUACAUGCAAGUCGAACGCUGGAGAUCUAGCUUGCUAGAUCGAAGGAGUGGCGAACGGGUGAGUAAUACAUAAGCAACCUACCUACGAAGACUGGGAUAAUCUCUGGAAACGGGGACUAAUACCGGAUAGGUAAUCGGAAGGCAUCUUCUGGUUAUUAAAGGUUAAAAACACUGGUGGAUGGGCUUAUGGCGCAUUAGUUAGUUGGUGAGGUAACGGCCCACCAAGACGAUGAUGCGUAGCCGGCCUGAGAGGAUGAACGGCCACAUUGGGACUGAGACACGGCCCAGACUCCUACGGGAGGCAGCAGUAGGGAAUUUUCGGCAAUGGGGGCAACCCUGACCGAGCAACGCCGCGUGAGUGAAGACGGCCUUCGGGUUGUAAAGCUCUGUUGUAAGGGAAGAACGGUAGAUAGAGAAUAUCUAAGUGACGGUACCUUACCAGAAAGCCACGGCUAACUACGUG